GACGAACGCUGGCGGCGUGCUUAACACAUGCAAGUCGAACGGAAAGGCCCAGCUUUUGUGGGGUGCUCGAGUGGCGAACGGGUGAGUAACACGUGAGUAACCUGCCCUUGACUUUGGGAUAACUUCAGGAAACUGGGGCUAAUACCGGAUAGGAGCUCCUGCUGCAUGGUGGGGGUUGGAAAGUUUCGGCGGUUGGGGAUGGACUCGCGGCUUAUCAGCUUGUUGGUGGGGUAGUGGCUUACCAAGCCUUUGACGGGUAGCCGGCCUGAGAGGGUGACCGGCCACAUUGGGACUGAGAUACGGACCAGACUCCUACGGGAGGCAGCAGGGGGGAGUAUUGCACAAUGGGCGGAAGCCUGAUGCAGCAACGCCGCGUGCGGGAUGACGGCCUUCGGGUUGUAAACCGCUUUCGCCUGUGACGAAGCGUGAGUGACGGUAAUGGGUAAAGAAGCACCGGCUAACUACGUG
rnacentral:rRNA from 1 species